rnacentral:ncRNA from 1 species
ACUCAGACAGGACUGACAGAUGGAUAGCUUUUUCUCGAUUCCAUGGGUGGUGGUGGUCCAUGGCCCUUCUUGGUUGCUGGAGUGAUUUCUCUGGUUAACUCUGAUAAUAAAUGAGACUCUGGCAUGCUAACUAGUUGUGCAACCCCUGAGCGAAUGCGAGAAAAUUUUUCCAAUCUAUCCAUCUGACAAAGGGCUAUCCAGAAUCUACAAAGAACUUAAAUUUACAAGAAUAAAACAACCCCAUCAGAAAGUGGGCAAAGGAUAUGAACAGACACUU